rnacentral:rRNA from 1 species
UACGUAGGGGGGCCAGCGUUGUCCGGAUUUAUUGGGCGUAAAGAGCUCGUAGGCGGUUUGUCGCGUCUGCCGUGAAAGUCCGGGGCUCAACUCCGGAUCUGCGGUGGGUACGGGCAGACUAGAGUGAUGUAGGGGGAGACUGGAAUUCCUGGUGUAGCGGUGAAAUGCGCAGAUAUCAGGAGGAACACCGAUGGCGAAGGCAGGUCUCUGGGCAUUAACUGACGCUGAGGAGCGAAAGCGUGGGGAGCAAACAGG